UUUUUUUUUUUUUUUUUUUUUUUUUUUUGCAGCUUGGUGUUGUGGUUGCCCCACAUACAUUAAAGUUACCAGAAGAGCCUAUCACACGGUGGGGCGAGUAUUGGUGUGAGGUGACGGUAAAUGGGCUUGAUACUGUGAGAGUGCCUAUGUCUGUCGUGAACUUUGAGAAGCCCAAGACCAAAAGAUAUAAGUACUGGUUAGCCCAGCAAGCUGCCAAGGCCAUGGCCCCCACCAGCCCCCAGAUCUAAAUCUACUCUCCCUCCAAGGCAGCAAAGCAGAAUCAGGAGCAGUGGAGCAGAAAUGUGCAAGCACCCUGAUCUCACUCCCAGCUCUGACCAAAUACAGAAUUUUAGAGAACAUCUGAAGACAUCAGACUGCACUGCGUAUACAUGUUGAAUUCUUCAUUUUUGCCAU
rnacentral:sRNA from 1 species